ACGGACGCUGGCGGCGUGCCUAAUACAUGCAAGUCGAACGGUCUUUCUAUGGAAGCUUGCUCCACUGAGAAGAUAGUGGCGAACGGGUGAGUAACACGUGGGUAACCUGCCCAUAAGAGGGGGAUAACAUCCGGAAACGGGUGCUAAUACCGCAUAGUUUUCUUGAUCGCAUGAUUGAGAAAGGAAAGACGGCCUUUGUGCUGUCGCUUAUGGAUGGACCCGCGGCGUAUUAGUUAGUUGGUGAGGUAACGGCUCACCAAGACGAUGAUACGUAGCCGACCUGAGAGGGUGAUCGGCCACAUUGGGACUGAGACACGGCCCAAACUCCUACGGGAGGCAGCAGUAGGGAAUCUUCCGCAAUGGACGAAAGUCUGACGGAGCAACGCCGCGUGAGUGAAGAAAAGGUUUUCGGAUCGUAAAACUCUGUUGUCAGAGAAGAACAAGUUGGAGAGUAACUGCUCCAGCCUUGACGGUAUCUGACCAGAAAGCCACGGCUAACUACGUGCCAGCCGCGGC
rnacentral:rRNA from 1 species